rnacentral:rRNA from 1 species
UUCAGCGUAAUCGGGGCAGACGCUAUUACAAAGCUGUUGAUGCUAAUAACCGAGCCAACAGAAUGGCGAAAAGGCCAAAACCGUGCUUACUGGAUCAAAAUUUACCAUUGCGAAAGCUUGUUCUGGAAAAGCUGGAGAUGAAAUGGUCUCCAGAGCAAAUAUCAGGAUGGUUAAGGCGAACAAAACCACGUCAAAAAACGCUGCGAAUAUCACCUGAGACAAUUUAUAAAACGCUGUACUUUCGUAGCCGUGAAGCGCUACACCACCUGAAUAUACAGCAUCUGCGACGGUCGCAUAGCCUUCGCCAUGGCAGGCGUCAUACCCGCAAAGGCGAAAGAGGUACGAUUAACAUAGUGAACGGAACACCAAUUCACGAACGUUCCCGAAAUAUCGAUAACAGACGCUCUCUAGGGCAUUGGGAGGGCGAUUUAGUCUCAGGUACAAAAAACUCUCAUAUAGCCACACUUGUAGACCGAAAAUCACGUUAUACGAUCAUCCUCAGACUCAGGGGCAAAGAUUCUGUCUCAGUAAAUCAGGCUCUUACCGACAAAUUCCUGAGUUUACCGUCAGAACUCAGAAAAUCACUGACAUGGGACAGAGGAAUGGAACUGGCCAGACAUCUAGAAUUUACUGUCAGCACCGGCGUUAAAGUUUACUUCUGCGAUCCUCAGAGUCCUUGGCAGCGGGGAACAAAUGAGAACACAAAUGGGCUAAUUCGGCAGUACUUUCCUAAAAAGACAUGUCUUGCCCAAUAUACUCAACAUGAACUAGAUCUGGUUGCUGCUCAGCUAAACAACAGACCGAGAAAGACACUGAAGUUCAAAACACCGAAAGAGAUAAUUGAAAGGGGUGUUGCAUUGACAGAUUGAAUCUACAACCGCGCUCUUGAUGUCCGACUCGCUGAACGGUUCACGAUAGUUGCCAGACUGAGUGACAGCCACUCAGUUGUCAGCCUCUGUUCUGCUCUGGAAAUACACCGCAGCAGUUACCAGUACUGGCGAAAACGACGCGAUACGGUUAAUCCGGCGCGAGUCAGGUUGUGCAGCGAAAUACGCCGGGCGUGGAACCAAAGUAGGGGCUCUGCGGGGGCGCGCACGCUGGCUGAAAUGCUGACCCAAAACGGCGUCCCGAUGAGCCGUUACCGUGCCGGGCGUCUGAUGAAAUAUCUGAACCUGAGCAGUUGUCAGCCCGGAAAACAUCAGUACAAAAAUGCUCGUCAGGAACAUACCUGCCUGCCGAAUCUGCUUGAGCGCCAGUUCGCUGUGCCCGAGCCAGAUAGGGUAUGGUGCGGAGAUAUUACGUAUAUCUGGGCAGGAAAUCGCUGGUGCUAUCUGGCGGUCGUCAUGGAUCUUUUUGCCCGCAGGGUUAUCGGCUGGAGCCUGUCAGCGAAUGCCGAUACUGCCCUGAUAAGCAGUGCCCUGCGGAUGGCGUAUGAGGUGCGUGGUCAGCCGCGGGACGUCAUGUUCCAUAGCGACCAGGGAAGUCAAUAUACAGGACUGAAAUAUCAACAACUUCUCUGGCGUUACAGGAUAAAGCAAAGUGUCAGCCGACGGGGAAACUGCUGGGAUAACAGUCCAAUGGAACGCUUCUUCCGCAGUCUGAAAACAGAAUGGGUGCCAACCGAUGGCUACACAGGCAAAGACGUGGCCCGGCAGCAAAUCAGCAGUUAUAUUCUGAAUUAUUACAAUAGCGUCAGGCCUCACCAUUAUAACGGAGGGCUGACGCCGGAAGAGUCAGAGAACAGAUAUCAUUUUUACUGUAAAACCGUGGCCAGUAUUACUUGACCACUACACUGGAACUCAUGCUCACCAGCGGUGAGCUGAAUCCCCGCCAUCAGCAUACCGUCACGCUGUAUGCAAAAGGGCUGACCUGCAAAGCCGAUACCCUCGGCAGUCGAGGUUACGUUUAUAUGGCUGUUUAUCCGACGCCCGAAACGAAAAAGUAAAUCAUCAGAAUAACCUUCUGCUCCGGCCUGGUGUUUUCACCACGCCACUUCCCCAUUUCUCAUCUCUGCAUAUCAGGAAAAACUUUAGUAUGAAAACAUUACCCGAUACACACGUACGGGAGGCAUCGCGCUGCCCGUCUCCCAUCACCAUCUGGCAGACACUGCUUGGCCGUCUGCUGGACCAGCACUACGGCCUCACGCUGAAUGACACACCGUUCGCUGAUGAACGUGUGAUUGAGCAGCAUAUUGAGGCAGGUAUUUCACUGUGUGAUGCGGUGAACUUUCUCGUGGAAAAAUACGUGCUGGUGCGUACCGACCAGCCGGGAUUCAGCGCCUGUACCCGCUCUCAGUUAAUAAACAGCAUCGAUAUCCUCCGGGCUCGCAGGGCGACCGGCCUGAUG